CGGCAUUUCACUUUGUAUUGCUGCUGGAAUAGGUGGACUUCAUAGUUAUACCAGCGAUAAAUAUUGCUGGCUCUCCUCCACUAACAAUCUCGUCUGGAUAUUCAUCUCAUUCGUGGUGUUCAUUGAAGCUCUCAACAUUUUGAUACUCGUCCGAGUCAUAAGGGAGAUGACCACACUUGUACAAUCUACGAGGGAAUACAACCAUCUUCAGCAGAUAAGACUUGGCAUAAGAACAUGCGCGGUGAUGAUUCCACUGUUGGGCUUUACUUGGCUAUUUGGUCUUUUGUUACCAAUGCACAAAGCUUUUGCCUACAUUUUCACCAUCUUUAACUCU